ensembl:lncRNA
GACUCCAGUAAUAGUAUGAGUAGUGUGGAAGAACAAGAUUCUCCUGUGUUUGUCAUGUGACUGUCAUGUGUCCCUCCCUCCAGCUCCUAUUGGCUCAGUGGAAGUGUCAAUCAUCUGCUCCUCCAGUGGGGUGAUGAGGGUGUUCUGCUCCUCUGAGGGGGAUCAGCUCCUCUACAGCUGGACUCUGAAUGGAGAUCCACUGAUGGAUGGAAACAGCAGCAUUGAUCUGGAUGAGGGUACUGAUGGAGACAUCAGCUGCAGUGUGAAGAACCACGUCAGUCACGCACAGAAGACCAUUAGACUCAAACCCUGUCCUGCUGAUGGUUCUGUUGGGUCUGUUAGGAGCUUUUCACAUCUACAUGAGACACACGUCAGUUGUGAGACAUUAAUCAUCAUCAUUAUGGAUUUGAUAUGCAGAUAUUAACAGUUACUUGUUUUUACUUAUUUCUUGACAGUAGCUGCGUGGCACUAAAUUAUAUACAACAAACAAAAAUUUCACCCAAAAAAUCAAAAGAAAUUAUAUUUUGCACAAGAACUAUUUUAAAACCAUUCAUUUUAUUUGCAUUGUGAUAUUAUUUUCAUAACACUUAAAAACACUCCCAUAUCCUAAAUUUUCAUUACUAAAAUGUUCUAGAAUUUAGUUUAUUUUUGUAAUUGCAAUUAUUUACAAAAAUAAUU